UACGUAGGGCGCGAGCGUUAAUCGGAAUUACUGGGCGUAAAGCGUGCGCAGGCGGUUUUGUAAGCCAGAUGUGAAAUCCCGGGGCUCAACCUCGGAACUGCAUUUGUGACUGCAUCGCUGGAGUGCGGCAGAGGGGGAUGGAAUUCCGCGUGUAGCAGUGAAAUGCGUAGAUAUGCGGAGGAACACCGAUGGCGAAGGCAGGUCUCUGGGCUGACACUGACGCUCAUGCACGAAAGCGUGGGGAGCAAACAGG
rnacentral:rRNA from 1 species